AAAAAAUGGUAGGUAGAAACAAAGCUAAGGGUGGAAUUGCUCCUCUCCCCAGCUGGCACUUUCCAGCAGGGCACGUUCUUGCAGAUGUCAGACAGAGAGCUACACCAACACAACUUGAUGAAGACUGGGCCUUAAGAACCAGCAUUCAGACUAAAGAAAAAUAAAAUACUGUGACUGUGAGAGUCAAGAUUACAGUCUGAAAUGAUGAAAUAAAUCACAAGGAUAGAGUAAAUCUCCUAUUCAAUGUAUACAAGCAUUUGUAAAGUAGCUCUUUCUCAUCUGUGGAAGCCAACACAGCAAUAGCAAUAUUAAUAAUGUGUUAACAGAGGCAAACAGGUACAAACACAGGUGUGUCAAUAUGUGUGGAGUUCGUUUUCCCUGAUUGCUUCCCUAAGUUUUGUUCCUUUCAUAAAAUUCCAUUAAGGUGUAUAGUAUCUGGUGGAAAGGGAAUAAAGAAGACAGAGCCAAACUCUUCUCAGUGACUCCUAAUGAAAAGGCAAAAAGAAACAAGUAUUGAUGGAAAUACAGGGAAAUACAUUUGGACACAGAGAAUUUUUUUUGGUUUUUUGGGGUUUUUUGGGUUGGUUUUUGUUUUGUUUUUGCGUGAAGGGGUUUGUUUUGUUGUAUUUUUUUUAUUUUAAUGAGGGGGUGAGAGAGCACUGGUACAGAUUGCCCAGGGAGGUUUUGGAGUCUCAAUCCUUAGAGACAGUCAAAAGCCAUCUAAACAUGGUCUUGGGUUACCAGCUUUAGGUGGCCUUGCUCUGAGCAGGUAACUGGAAUAGCUCCAGAGGUUCCUUUUUACCUCAAGCACUCUGUGAAAUUAAAAAUUAUCUGAUUCACAUUGAUAUUUUAGGGAUUCCAUCUCUCAAUUUUAAUUUUCAGGGAUUAAGCAUAAUGACUUUUCAGAUUGUCAAAGAGAAUAGCAUUUAACUCUGGUAUUUAAACCCUGACCCAUGUCUUUUAAGCAUAGCUAUGAACUGUCUACACUAUAAAUAGCUUUGUAUAUCAUAGUACUUCAACACAGUGCCUUUGGGAAAACAAACAGAAAAAAAUGCUGACAUGGUUGUCAAGGUUAAUAGACUAAACAGACCUUUCUUGAUAAACAAGAAUCUUUCAGCUUGUAUCCAACAGUAACAACAACUUUUUUUUUUUUUUUUUUUUUGGGAACUCUAUGGAAAGCAAUUGACUCUCUCUUACCUAAUUGAGAUUCAAAUUCAAAUCCAAGCGAAGAAUGUCAACAGCUUUUAACACCUUUACACAGCUAGCAACAAGAUAUGUUAAGGAAACUUUUGGUCAAAAAACUCUGAAUAAGCUGUUCUCUCUCAGGUAUGGCAUGAAAGAGCAAGAGCUAUUGCAUUUUAAUUACUCUACAUCCAAACUAUCCCAUUCCAUCCCACCCCACACCAGCACUGAAUAAUUUCUUAACAACAUCAUUUAUAUGUGAAAAUUAUGAUAAGCAACUUUUUUUUUUUUUUGCCUAUGAAUUUUAGCUCUCCCAUUGAUUUUCUCCCAUAAGGGUCAUUCUAAUUGUGGGCAACACCCUUCCAGCAGCAUAAACUUAAAUUUUCAGGAGUGUUACUGCCCUGAAAGAGCUACAGAAUGGAUCUGAAGCCAGGCUGCCUUGUUCCUCUGGACAUCAGCACAUUUAGAAGAAUGGGUCUUUUCCAGAUCUUCUCAUUGCCACUGUAACUCUCCGAACACUGUGUGAUGGCAACUGCAGUGUCACAGCAGUUAAGGACAACUCUAACAGGACUCCACAUUCUCAGAAACAUCCAAAUGUCUCAUGAAAAUGAUAGCACUGCCUCACCAAGGAAGACUGAAAGCGUGCUAACACAGAAGAGUUAAAAGCUUGCUCAGACAGUUUCAUGACAGGUUAAGUAAUUCAGCUGGAGUUUCCCAGACUUGUGCUUAAACAUCCCUACUUUUGUGCUGGGGGUAGGCAAGGAGGGGGUUGGCAGGACCAGGACACAAUUUAGACCACUUCUUCCUCUUGAAUGAUACCUUCCUUUCUUUUAAAACUAUCCAUCAAAAGAAAUAGCAUAGUUUGGGGCAAGUUAAAAGAGUUUUGGUUUUGUUUGUUUAAUUUUCAUAUCAGCUGAAGUGAUGGGCAUCAUCCCUGAACAUGGUGCAGAUUCCAAAUUAUCAAGAUACACUGCAUUAACUUUCAGAAGACUUGGUAUUUCUUUCCUGAAUUUAUCUAUUUUACAUCCAACCACAAAAUAAAAAUCCAUCUCCUUCCAUAAAAUUCCAUGCAUCACGUAGGAUGCUUGUAAUUCUCCCUUACAGAUGGUGUACAUCUGAAAGAGGGUUGUUAAGUAAAAUUUUAUUCUGUGAGAUUUAGUUUAGGUAUAUAAUAAACCAGUGUCAACUAAUUCAAGAUGCAAUAAUGAAAACACUUCCUUAAGAUUAAUGUCACAUCUUAAAUCUCAAAACCAAGCUUCAAAUGAAUGAAUAAUAAAAUCUGAAAGUAUGCCUAUGGAAUGCUAUAUAAAUUUUAAACAUGAAAACUGCUUAUCAUUUGCAGAUUGUUAUUGGUUAUUAUGGUUACCAUUCUCUAACACAAUCCAAUCUGCCUGCACUUUUCUAUUUCGGGAUACAGCAGUGAUAACAUUAACAGCAGACUUAACUUCUCAACUUGCAAACAUACAUACAUUAGGGGCACAUGCUAUCUCCUGCUGCACUGAAAGAUAACAUGAGUAUGUUCUCACAGUGUCACAGAAAUAACAAGCUGCUGAUCUCCCUGCAGUCAGAUGUUAAAACAUCUAAUCCAACUCGCAAUGAGUGUCAGGACCACAUCAUGUUUGAAAACAUUUGUAUUACAGAUACAUAAUAAAAAUACAUGUUGCAUUAUAAAUCCUCUACAUCACUGAGAUAUAAAGAGGUGCUAUAAAUGCUAUAAAGUUGCAAAAUCUGCCCAUAAGUGAUUGUUCCCACGCGUGGGCCAGAUUUUUAUUUUUUACAUGUGAUGUAGAGUCAUGUGGAACAUUGUCUUAAAGCCUUGCUGCAGUGAAACACAGAGACCAGGGAGAGAGACAGAAAGAACAAUUCAACACAUUGAACAAUUCAACAUGUUGCUGCUGGUCUAGGAUGGUCACAGAAAUCACCUGCAGCUGAAUGUGCUGCCAAACACUUCUGAAACAGCAGUAAAUUCUGCAAGAGCUUUAAGGAGUUGGAAGAAAAAAAUAAUUCAGAAACGGUAUUCUUAAAAAGUAAUACCUGAGUAUUAAAUAGGAGAUAAUGUUUGCCUUCCUAUAUGUAUUAAUUGCAAGAAGAGAGAUUAUAAUACUUUUGAGCACAAGAAUUUCAAGAAAAGAAACAACCUCCACAGGGAACACAAUAUCCUGAAGCAGAAUAUAUGAAACUUACACAAUGCUGUAGAAACAGCUUGUGCUUGCUAUUUUUCCUUAAAAAUACAUGUAACAAAGGUAACACUUUAUAGUGUUACUCAUACAUUAAUGCAGCAUUAAAUAAACAGGGGUUUUUAAUCUCAGUGAAAAGCUUUCAUCUCUCAUGCUCAGCACUCAUCUGCCUCUGGGGGCACCGAAAUGUUUCAAGUGCCAUGGGCAGCUCCCUCAUGGCCAGAUGCUGAUUGUCCAGAGCUGGAGACUGAGGAAUAACUUUGGCUCAUAGCUGUGCACAGCAGCUAGCCCAGACUAGUGGGAAUGUUACCCUCUAGCCACAUCCGCAUCCUGAAAACUGUCCACCUACACGUUGUCCUCUGGGACAAUUGCUGUGCAGUUCCAUACUCAGGACAUUAACUUAGUAACUGAUAGUUCACAGAGGAGAUGUCUGAGCCCCUGUGCCUUUAAAUGGUUUUGGCUUUUAAAAUGUCCAGCCAUAUCUCAAAAUCACAUGUACAGAAAUGCUUGUAAAACUUCUGCUAUCGAUGCCUCAGAAUUCUGUUCCAAUUUCAGAAAAUAAAAUGCAUCUAACCAGGAGAACCACAACAGCAGGCCACGGGAGUCGUUUUGGCUCACUCUGCCUUUGUUUGUGCAUUUUUGGCACAAGCCAUCACUCCACAAUUCCAUCAAUUUAAAUUAUCGAUCAUCACCAAACACUGGGGUUUCUUUGGCCUCAUUGCUUCUUUAAAUCUCAAUUCCCAUUUCUCAUUUUUUACUGUUUCUGAAACCUCUAAUAUUUUUGAUGUUUCGCACUCUUAAAAUCUGGAUUAAUUAUAUUUAAUUUUUGAUGGACUAGCUUGUGCAAUAUAACAAGCUCCACCAAAAUAACUUCUGGUGAAAUAUGAAAUCUGGAAACCACGUCUUGCAGAAAGGACUAUUUAUCUCUUGGGACCCACUUGAGAGCUCAAAAUAGGAAUUAAGUGGAAUUUAGGCAGCAUACAUGCUGCUGUAAUGGCUCUCUCACCUAUGAGGCUGGGUGUCACCCUGGCACAACAGAAAUAUACUUCAGUUUAAUGAGCAGGGAGCCAUAUGUGUAACUCUGGCCAGGAACUCGCAGUGUUGCAGUAAAAACACGGCCAGAGGAACCAGCAUGUCAGCUAAGCAGAGACAGAAGGUUGCAAUGCAAGAGAUUAAGUAAGUGCAGUAAGUUGCUGCUCACAGAGAAUUAAUGCAAUGUGUUACAACAACAUGAUCAGAACUGCCCUGAUGAGAUGCAUCAUGAAGAAAAAAGCUGUGGAGCAGCUGUUACACAAGACAAUGCCCCUGACUUCUCUCAGCAGAACUCUGGAAAGCUACUGUCAUGCUUAAGUGCUCUGAAUCCCCUGAAUUUUCUGCAGGACACCACUAGAGCCCCAUGCAACCAAAGGAAGUCAAUCCAGCAGCCACAGGAGCUUUCACAAAAGGUUUGCUCUGAAGGAUGGAGACAACCCAGACCUGCCUCUAUUAAUAGAAAAAAAAAAAAAAACUGCCAGCAGAGAGAGCCAAACGUGUCAUAAGAAGUUUGCUGAGGAAGCUUGCUCUAUUACUCAGGAAUGCUAAAAGCUGUCUCCACUAGAAACUAAGGGCUUGAAAACAACCAGAAAUAAAGCAAAUUACAAUGUCAUUUCA